UAUACUCAAUGACUACAACAACGUAAAUGGAAAGAACGAGCACAAAAACAAAGAAACUAAAUGCUAUGAACUUCUAAUGACCAAGAAACUUGACCUUGGAAAAGAGGCAAAUGAUACUGGGUUAGAAGAAUGAUAUUGAAGAUGGCUAUAUUCUGAGCUUUGAAAGAUGAGCAGUGAACCAUCAGGAAUUGUGAUAAGGGGGUCCAUACCAGCCUCCAAGUUCCAUGUCAAAAUAAAAGUGGUGUCCCUUGUAUAGAGAAAUGACGUCACUGGCCCUUUCAUUAGAAGGUACCCUUCAGGCUGCAUUCCAGUGGAUUUGCUCAGAAUCUUUUCACCCUGACCUUCUUGUGCCAAGACCUGACAGCUGUGAGUGUUUCCCUGAUGGCUGAGUAUCCCCUGACAUGAGGACUCAGGUGCAAUGGGGAGGGAAGGAUGCCUUUCACCAAAAACUUCUGACUUAUGCCUAAACCCAGGGAAACCCUGGUAAUAUUAGCACAUGGCUCAUUUUGCUCUCAUGCAAAUACUCAGUUUAAUCAGCCAUCAAAUAUAGAAUAGAUGUGAUUUAACCUAUCCAUUGAAACAAAGAAAAAUGACCAAAGACCUCAUACCUAAGUCCAUCAAUAGUUAAGAUAAUGAUCCUUCAGAAGUGAUGAACUCUGGGUGCAGAUUGAAGCAUGGUUUUUUUUUCACUUUAAAAAGAAAGAAUGAAAAUGAUCUUUCCUAUUGGGGGCAUCUACCAGAGGUAGAGGGAGUGGUCCUCAUCAUUACCAGGUGACCUAUCCAGUCCAUAUGAUUCAAAAUACCAGCAAAAAGCAAGCUCCAUAUAUUUACUAUUCUUUGGCUCUGAGCUUCAUUGAUCCUUAAUGCUUACAGUUCCCUGCUUUAUCAGUCUCUUUCCCCCUUCCUUCAUCUCCUAUUCUUUCCCUCCUUCACACUCAUCUCUUCCUUUCUC